rnacentral:sRNA from 1 species
UGGACAGGGCUGGAGAAUGAAGUUCCCUACCCAGAAAGGGCAGUCAGUGAUACUGAAAACGUCCUUAACACUGCCCUGCCAAUGUACCUCAGACAUGACCUGAAGGGGACUACCUCUGGGGUGCAUGGGAGGCUUUUUCUCACUCUAAAAGGCAUAUCUAAGCUGAAGCUAUC